AGGUAAGGCUGGAAUUCCCCAGGAGUGGGCGUGGCGUUUCAGAGAGAUCACCUAUAAAGAUAUAAAUUUACAUCUGCUGAACACAAUCCAACUAUUACACGACAAAAUAUCAGACGUUCAAGACGGCUCGAAACAUGUGCAGAAAUUAUUUGUUGAACUACCAACAAUAUUCUUUAAAGGAAAGAAGUCUUAUUAGAUUUCUGUGGCAUAAUCUGAAGCAAGUUGUUUGAACAGAUACAAAUAUGUCUUCUAACCAGCAAGGCCAACCGCCUUCACAGGCCAGCGCAGGAGCCAACCGAAUGGGCUACACCCCGAGUGGGAUCCAGUCCGGUACUGCCGCAGCUGGUCACAUGUCAUCCUCCGCCAAGAGUCACGGCGGGUCAGUUCCAGCGGGAAGCCCCGUCUCCCAGAUGCAGUCCUCCGGAACCAAGGGCAGCUACCACACCGGAGGUGGCAAGAAGUAGUAGAAGAGUGACUCAUCCGCCCCAGGCUGGUGAUGGGGUGUGAACCUCGAAACAUGUUCCGUUUAUUAAAAUGUUAUGUUCUUUUCCUUAUUUUCAUCUUUAUCGUGUUUUCUUUUGGGAAAAUUUAGAAUAAUCCCUAUGUAAUUCUUAAUCCGGCUUUGGUUCUUGAAAUGUCUGUAGCCAUUAGAGUUAGUCCAUUGAUCUUAUUUCUCUCUCGAUGCCUUCUGUCAUUUUAAAUGAUGAUCAAUCAAUCAUAUGUUGUAGCAGUCUGUAGACAUUGUCACAGAAGUGAAUUUUUCACUCUAAAUUGCAAAUUCCGACUUUUGGUUUAGUAACAUUUAGUAACAAAAAGCGAGACAAAUCUCUUAGAUAUAUAUCAUUAUGUUCAAUCUAACAGAAUAAUGAUGCGCAUCUGUUUACCACGCUCCAGUAUUCAAAUGGAAUUCAGGAGGUGCAACAGAAUGUUAUAAUCGAUUUUUUGGUGUAUUCAACUUGUUCACAGAAAACAAAAUCAUAACUACCAUUCAAAAGCAAUAGGCCCUAUAAAUUCUAGAAAAAUAUUUACGAAAAUUGAUUACGAUUCUAAGAUUUUUAAAAAGCUUUAAAUUUACGUAGUAUUCUGAACAAUGUAUUUAUUUGGUGAAAAGAAAGCUUUCGAAGCUAUAUUGAACCAUACUGUACUCCGAAAGAAUCUCUCCUUAGGUUAUAGGCCUAAUCAUUUACACUUUUCAAGAGCUUAUUUGUGUUAUUGAAACUGCUAUAACCAUUCAAUACGUACUGUUAACAUAUCAACAUGGAAGGGAAAAUGAUAAAUGAAAUGAAAUGUAAUGUUCGGAGAUAUAUAUUGAGGGAAAAGCUGUCAAUAAUAUCGAUCUUUUCAUCUUCUUAGUUUGAUAUGCUAAGUGUUUAAUUUUGUGAUUGGAAUGUUUGUUUCAUCAUAAUAGUUUAGAAAUAUCAAUCCUUAUGAGUAGAUUGUAAUAUCAUCUAUGGAAAACGUUUUUAUUUACUUUUUUAUUGUUAAUAUAUUUUUUAAUGGUCUUUAUUGAUCAUUCAUUUAAAAACAUAUAUAAUCUGAUAAAAUAUUACAGAAAAUAACAUGACAUAUUGAUUGCUGUUGAGCAAAAGCAUACUAUAUGUAUACCACGCAUAGCAAGGAUGAAACAAUAAAUUACCUUGAAUUUGACGUUCCUUUUCAAAAGUGAAAGCUUAAUUCCAAUGUCGCUUUGUCUAUGAUUUGUUUAAUAAUUGCGAAUAAACAACCUUAGAAA